rnacentral:piRNA from 1 species
UGGCUUUAAAAUUCCUGGUGUUUGACAA